UUGCAGUGUUUGGCCACAUUUACUGAAGGU
rnacentral:piRNA from 1 species